GAUGAACGCUGGCGGCGUGCUUAACACAUGCAAGUCGAGCGAGAAGUUUUGAAAAGAUUCUUCGGAUGAAAUUUAAAAUGGAAAGCGGCGGACGGGUGAGUAACGCGUAGGCAACCUGCCCCAUACAAAGGGAUAGCAUUUGGAAACGAAUAUUAAUACCUUAUGAAACUUAACUAGUGCAUGCUAGGUAGGUCAAAGAUUUAUCGGUAUGGGAUGGGCCUGCGUCUGAUUAGCUAGUUGGUGAGGUAACGGCUCACCAAGGCGACGAUCAGUAGCCGACCUGAGAGGGUGAACGGCCACAUUGGAACUGAGACACGGUCCAAACUCCUACGGGAGGCAGCAGUGGGGAAUAUUGCACAAUGGGGGAAACCCUGAUGCAGCAACGCCGCGUGAACGAUGAAGGCCGUUGGGGCGUAAAGUUCUGUUCUAGGUGAUGAAAACUGACAGUAACCGAGGAGAAAGCCCCGGCUAACUCCGUG
rnacentral:rRNA from 1 species